AGUGAACGCUGGCGGUAGGCCUAACACAUGCAAGUCGAACGGCAGCACAGUAAGAGCUUGCUCUUACGGGUGGCGAGUGGCGGACGGGUGAGGAAUACAUCGGAAUCUACUUUUUCGUGGGGGAUAACGUAGGGAAACUUACGCUAAUACCGCAUACGACCUACGGGUGAAAGCAGGGGAUCUUCGGACCUUGCGCGAUUGAAUGAGCCGAUGUCGGAUUGGCUAGUUGGCGGGGUAAAGGCCCACCAAGGCGAGGAUCCGUAGCUGGUCUGAGAGGAUGAUCAGCCACACUGGAACUGGGACACGGUCCAGACUCCUACGGGAGGCAGCAGUGGGGAAUAUUGGACAAUGGGCGCAAGCCUGAUACAGCCAUACCGCGUGGGUGAAGAAGGCCUUCGGGUUGUAAAGCCCUUUUGUUGGGAAAGAAAAGCAGCAGGUUAAUACCCCGCUGUUCUGACGGUACCCAAAGAAUAAGCACCGGCUAACUUCGUG
rnacentral:rRNA from 1 species